rnacentral:rRNA from 1 species
UACAUGUGGGGCAAGCGUUGUUCGGAAUUACUGGGCAUAAAGGGGGCGUAGGCGGCGCGGUAAGUCGGGUGUGAAAUCUCGGGGCUUAACUCCGAAACUGCAUUCGAUACUGCCGUGCUUGAGGACUGGAGAGGAGACUGGAAUUUACGGUGUAGCGGUGAAAUGCGUAGAUAUCGUAAGGAAGACCAGUGGCGAAGGCGGGUCUCUGGACAGUUCCUGACGCUGAGGCACGAAGGCCAGGGGAGCAAACGGG